rnacentral:rRNA from 1 species
AGUGAACGCUGGCGGUAGGCCUAACACAUGCAAGUCGAACGGCAGCACAGGAGAGCUUGCUCUCUGGGUGGCGAGUGGCGGACGGGUGAGGAAUACAUCGGAAUCUACUCUGUCGUGGGGGAUAACGUAGGGAAACUUACGCUAAUACCGCAUACGACCUACGGGUGAAAGCAGGGGACCUUCGGGCCUUGCGCGAUUGAAUGAGCCGAUGUCGGAUUAGCUAGUUGGCGGGGUAAAGGCCCACCAAGGCGACGAUCCGUAGCUUGUCUAAGGGGGUGACCGGCCACACUGGAACUGAGACACGGUCCAGACUCCUACGGGACGCAGCAGUGGGGAAUAUUGGACGAUGGGCGCAAGCCUGAUCCAGCCAUACCGCGUGGGUGAAGAAGGCCUUCGGGUUGUAAAGCCCUUUUGUUGGGAAAGAAAUCCAGCUGGCUAAUACCCGGUUGGGAUGACGGUACCCAAAGAAUAAGCACCGGCUAACUUCGUGCCAGCCGCCGCGGUAA